CCUACGGGUGGCUGCAGUGAGGAAUAUUGGUCAAUGGCCGGAAGGCUGAACCAGCCAAGCCGCGUGAAGGACGAAGGUGCCAAGCAUUGUAAACUUCUUUUGUCAAGGAACAAAAUCAGGCUCGAGAGCCUGACCGAGGGUACUUGAAGAAAAAGCAUCGGCUAACUCGGUGCCAGCAGCCGCGGUCAUACGGAGGAUGCGAGCGUUAUCCGGAUGGAUUGGGGUUAAAGGGUGCGUAGGCGGGCUGUUAAGUCAGCGGUAAAAGCUCGGGGCUAAACCCCGGCGAGCCGUUGAAACUGGGUGUCUUGAGAUGUCGAGAGGUAUGCGGAAUGCGGAGUGUAGCGGUGAAAUGCUUAGAUAUUGCGCAGAACUCCGAUUGCGAAGGCAGCAUACCGGCGGCGAUCUGACGCUGAGGCACGAAAGCGUGGGUAUCGAACAGGAUUAGAUACCCUUGUAGUC
rnacentral:rRNA from 1 species